UGUCAAGGCUAACUCAUUCUCACUUCCACAUCCCCUUAUUCCAACUAAAAAAUGAUUUUCAGUCUUCCCUCCACCGCAUUGGAAAUCGCCUCCAGUGGCGGCUGAGCUUCAAUAGACCUCAACCUCGCAUCAAUGGAAUCAUCCUUGUUCCCUUUCUUUCGUUCUCACGUUAACCUCUAUUAAUUCCUUCUUAACACUUCCAAUCAGAGAAUCAACUCAUAUGAACCCUAAAUUCCAGGUCCCCAAUUAAACAUGAAUUACAAUUGGUUUCAACCUUAGAACUUGGGGCUAACGUUCCUCUACAUCAAUUCUAUCAUCUGGUAACAAGAAAUAUGAUAAAGCAAGUGAGUUUGAAAGAGGUGCACCAACUUCAGAGUGGUGAAUUGCUCCGGUCAAGAUUGAGAAAUUUGAAGAUGAGGAUGAUAAGAAAUCUAGAGGCGCUUCAAAAUAAGUGGUGAAGUGAGGUUUGCAAGCCAUCUAGCAGCGCUAUCAAGAUGAACCUAAACUGAAUUAUGAAUGGUGCAAUUGGUCCAAACUGCAACAGGUUUUUAUGGGUCAAUAUGCCUGAUGAAAGGAAGCAAGGCUUGAUCAAGUCAUGGAUAAACCACUGAGGAAACCUAAAGACCAAGAUAAGAUGGCUUCGAGGGAAGAAAUGAGGGACUUAGGGUUAGACUUAGAAAGCUGACUUUAGUCAACUAGUUGACCAAAGUCAACUAUAGGUCAAAAUUGCAUUCUUUGUAUGUUUUAGAUUUUUUACUUUUUGUAACGACUUUGUAAACUUCUGACGAGUUUGUAAUGAAUUUGAAACUUGAUUUGUAAAUGAGUUUCCUCCAA